ACAGUGGUGGUUCAGUGAUGGAAUUCUUGCCUUGCUUGCAGGAGACCCAGGUUUGAUUCCUGGCCACUGCC
rnacentral:tRNA from 1 species